GUACAUUCUCAUGAACGGAUACAAGCUCUUGUCAAAUUAUCCAUAAUACAUAAGUCAUCGAAAUGCUUGAAGAAAGUAGUUUUUAUUAAUGUGGUAAAAACCUUAGCAUUGAGCGAGCCUAGGCGAUUUACUUUAUUAAUUGAAUCGACAAAAGGCGUGUAAAUCACAAAAGAACAAAUAUUUUUCACUUUUAUUUUUAAUGUAUUAAUAGCUAUUAUUUAAAUAUAAAUUCAUUUUGCAA
rnacentral:lncRNA from 1 species